GGCCGACUAGCUCAGCUGGUUAGAGCGUCGUGCUAAUACGGAAAGCGAUCGGCUUCCGGUGACGCGAAGGUCUUGGGUUCGAUCCCCACGUUGGCCA
rfam:Paxillus rubicundulus Ve08.2h10 scaffold_1538_c1, whole genome shotgun sequence.